rnacentral:lncRNA from 1 species
GGCCGAUAGAUGUUUCAUAUUUCAUUGAGCUUGUGGAUAUGGUCUUAAAAUACACCAAAUAUCAUGAAUAUCAUUUUUUGAAUAAAGAAAUUCUAUUAUUUAAGCCUUUCCCUUGAAGAGAUACCCCGGGCAUUCUUCGAGGAAGGCUUCCCCGAAUGCUACUGGGCCUUCCCCGAGUGCAUUUGACACUCGGGGAAGCCACUGCUUCCCGUAGUGGUUGUGUGUGUGUCAGUUCUCCCAAAGCUUCAGGUUCCCUGUGAGAGGGAGGAAUAUAUUUACAUAUAUACAAUAGUCGUGAUCUUUAUGUCUUGUAUUUGG